rnacentral:rRNA from 1 species
GACGAACGCUGGCGGCGUGCUUAAUACAUGCAAGUCGCACGGAACGGCCCUGAUUUUGUGGGGUGCUCGAGUGGCGAACGGGUGUGUAACACGUGAGUAUCCUGCCCUUGAAUUUGGGAUAACUUCAGGGAACAGGGGCUACAACCGGCUAGAAGAUCUUGAUGCGCGUUGGUGCUUGGAAAGUUACGGUGGUUGGGGAUGGACUCGCGGCUUAACAGCUUACUAGUGGUGGAGUGGCUUACCAAGGUUUUGACGGUUAGCCGGCCUGAGAGGUUGACCGGCCGCAUAAGUACUAAGAGACGGCACAGAAGGCUACGGGACGCAGCAGUGGUGAAUGUUACACAAUGGAGGGAAGCCUGAAGCAGCGACGUCGGGAGCGGGAAGACAGCCUUCUGGUUGAAAACCACUUUCGCCAGUAACGAAUUGGGAGUGACGGUAACGGGUAAGUAAGCACCGGCUAACUACGGG